UACGGAGGGUGCAAACGUUGCUCGGAAUCAUUGGGCGUAAAGCGCACGUAGGCGGUUUGUUAAGUCGGAUGUGAAAGCCCCGGGCUCAACCCGGGAAGUGCAUACGAAACUGGCGAACUUGAAUAUGGAAGAGGGUCGCGGAAUUCCCGGUGUAGAGGUGAAAUUCGUAGAUAUCGGGAGGAACACCAGUGGCGAAGGCGGCGAUCUGGGAAGAUACUGACGCUGAGGUGCGAAAGCGUGGGGAGCAAACAGG
rnacentral:rRNA from 1 species